rnacentral:lncRNA from 1 species
GAAAAGGACUUUGCUGACCCCAGGCAAAUGAAACCAUACAAGGUGGAAGCUCAAAGCUCCGAUGAGUGGUGACCACCCUGCAGGACCUCGUUUACACAUGAGAUCUAAAAUAGCAUGGCCAUCCACACCAACUUACAGUCUGCUAACAAGCCCAGGGAAACCUACCUUAAAUCCAGAUCACUUGAUGUGGGAAGACCCAUCCUAAAUAUGAGCCAUACCUUCUGGUAGAAGCCUGCAUGAAGGAGAUGGAAGAAGGAAGCACUUGUUCUUUGCUUGAUUGCCCUCACUCUCAAUGGUAGCACACAGAAGUGGACAGCUGCAGCAUUACAACCACUGGGACAACCCCGAAAAAUGCUUGUGAAGGAAGACCUUCACAGUUGGCAGAACAUUGGCCUACACAUGUGGUUAUACAUUUUGCUUAGAAGGAGAGAUGGCCAGAUCUGUGAUUCUUUACUGAUUCAUAGUCUAUAGGUAGCCAAUGACUGGCUGGAUGGUCAGGGAUUUGGAAAUAGUGUGAUUGAAAAAUUGGUGAGAAAGACUUCUGGGGAAGCAGCAUGUGGACAGAUCUCUUUGGAUGGGUAAAAGAUGUGAAGAUACCUGUAUCCUGUGUAAAUGAUUUUCGAAAGGUGACUUCAACAAUCAAGUAGACAGGAUGACCCACUCUCUGGACAGACAGCCUCUUUCUCCAGCCUUUUCUGUCAUUGCCCAGUGGGCCAAAAACAAAGUGGCCAUGGUAGCAGUGAAGGCUACGGAUGGGCUUGACAACAUGGACU